ensembl:lncRNA
ACUCAGUGUGUCUGUUGUUUUUAGACUAGUGCGUCUGUAGUCAGCCUUCAUAAGCAGUUAUGAGCCUGUGUAGGUGCUGGGAAAGUGGAUUGACUCAAAGUGUGAUGUAAUCUCAGAUGAAUUGUUUACUCCCAUUACAGACAGCAUUUCAGUCCUACGGGUACAGAGCACAGAGCUGUAUUGCUUAGAGUGAAAGCUAAGCUGUCCUAAGAAAGUGAAGUGAAGUGAAAGUUGCUCAGUUGUGUCCAACUCUUUGCGACUCCAUGGACCAUAUAGUCCAUGGAAUACUCCAGGCCAGAAUACUGGAGUGGGUAGCCAUUCUCUUCUCCAGGGGAUCUUCCAACCCAGGGACUGAACCCAGGUCUCCCGGAUUGCAGGUGGAUUCUUUACCAGCUGAGCCACAAGGGAAGCCCGUCGUAAGAAAGAGGCCCUACUAAACAGGGGCUUAUCGGACAAAGAUUUUUUGAUCUCAACUCAAAAGAAACAAUUGCCUGAUUGUGACCAGGUGACCUCAUUUCUCUCCUCAGUCAUCAGCAAGGGAGAAUAUAAAACAGGUGGACCUGUGAGUUUACACAAUUUUUAAACAGAGAUGGAGAACUGAGGUCAAGUAGAGUCAACAGUGAAAGUCUUCUGGAAAGGCGGUUAGACUUCCAAACAACACGGAGCAUUUGAGGAGCUUGAAGUGAAAAGAUUUCCCUGGAUUUACAGUGGGCACACGGGCCAAGACAGCUCUGUUCAGAGGAGAUGAUGUUGGGCUUCACAACCUGCUCCUUCUAUGAUGCUUCUGAGUUUGAAGAACUAUGUCUUGGAAGCCCUAGACCUGGAUCAUAAUUUUAUAAGAAAAGCAAAUCCUUCUAAAGUAGUUAGUUCAGAAUUUUUAUGCGGAUUAGUCUGAUAUUUAGGGAAAUAGCUGGAACAGGAUAAGUUUAUGAAGACGAGACUGG